AAUCAACGCUGGCGGCGUGCCUCAGACAUGCAAGUCGAACGAUUAAACUUUCCUUCGGGAAAGAUAUAAAGUGGCGCACGGGUGAGUAACACGUAGGUAAUCUACCUUUGAGUGGGGAAUAACAAUCGGAAACGAUUGCUAAUACCGCAUAAUGCAGCGGCAUCUACGGAUGACAGUUGUUAAAGGAGCAAUCCGCUUAAAGAGGAGCCUGCGGCAGAUUAGCUAGUUGGUAAGGUAAUGCCUUACCAAGGCUACGAUCUGUAACCGACCUGAUAGGGUGGUCGGUCACACUGACACGGAAUAACGGGUCAGACUCCUACGGGAGGCAGCAGUCGGGAAUUUUGGGCAAUGGGCGAAAGCCUGACCCAGCAACGCCGCGUGAAGGACGAAGUCUUUCGGGAUGUAAACUUCGUAAGAAUGGGAAGAAUAAAUGACGGUACCAUUUGUAAGCCCCGGCUAACUACGUGCCAGCAGCCGCAGUAAGAC
rnacentral:rRNA from 1 species